CCAAUAGCGUAUAUUAAAGUUGUUGCAGUUAAAAAGCUCGUAGUUGAAUUUCGGGACCAAUCUGCCGGACGUGCCUCCGGUACGCACUGGUUUUAUUGGUUUCUCCCUUCUGACGAACCAUGAUGUCAUUAAUUUGGUGUCAUGGGGAAUCAGGACUGUUACUUUGAAAAAAUUAGAGUGUUUAUAGCAGGCUCACGCUUGAAUACAUUAGCAUGGAAUAAUGAAAUAGGACGUUUGACCCUAUUUUGUUGGUUUCUAGGAUCGACGUAAUGAUUAAUAGGGAUAGUUGGGGGCAUUAGUAUUCAAUUGUCAGAGGUGAAAUUCUUGGAUUUAUUUAAGACUAACUACUGCGAAAGCAUUUGCCAAGGAUGUUUUCAUUAAUCAAGAACGAAAGUUAGGGGAUCGAAGACGAUCAGAUACCGUCGUAGUCUUAACCAUAAACUAUGCCGACUAGGGAUCGGAUGAUGUUAAUUUUUUAAUGACUCAUUCGGCGCCUUACG
rnacentral:misc_RNA from 1 species